ACCUGCAAUCAUACAUGUAUUAAUACGCUGUAUCUCAUCAUAACUCCGUAAUUAAAUGUAUAUGGGCGAAAUUAGUGUUAGAAUGGGUGACUUCUUGAAAAGUUCUUGUGUUGUACCUC
rnacentral:rRNA from 1 species